rfam:Homo sapiens chromosome 14, GRCh38 reference primary assembly.
GCCGGGCGUGGUGGCUCACGCCUGUAAUCCCAGCACUUUGGGAGGCCAAGGUGGGUGGAUCACUUGAGGUCAGGAGUUCGAGACCAGCCUGACCAACAUGGUGAAACCCCAUCUCUA